UUCUCUGUCUGACUUGUUUUGCUCAAGAUCCAUCCAUGGUGUCUCACAUGGGAUGAGUUUGUCUGUUUUUAUGGGUCUUCCAGGUAUAGAGAAGCUGGUUUAUCUGAGACCCCACUGGCUUUCUGUUGGCUCCCAUAGGCUUGGAUGCUGCUGCCCCAUGCAUGACCGGUGAUGCUUGUCCUGGGUUGUCUGAAGGUGCUCGUUGCACUGCUGCCAGGGGUGCUGGGUUCAUAGGUGUCACUAUCCCUGCCAGGGACCUGGAGAACUAUAUGUAUCUCCAGCUGAGCUGGUGUUGGGGGGUGCCACCAGUGGGGGCUAGGUCACCAGAUCUGCUGUGUUUCCUGAAGCCUCUGGUCACAGGUUCCACCUGCCAGUGCUGGGGCAAAGGGGCUAUUUCUUCUGCCCCCACCCAGUUUGCUCACAGUUGUGUGGGCCAGGCCACCUCCACUGUGCCAGCAGUCACACAGGCCAGGCUGCCACCAUCCAUGCUCCACUGGCAGUCAGGUGAGCUGGGCUGUCCUCACCACUUGUGCAAGCCACUGUGUGAGGAUCCACAACCUGGAUUGCUGCCACUCAGGGAGGGUGGUGGGGGCUUCUCCCCUAGUUCCACUGCUUACUGGGGGUUGAGUCCACCCACAUUCAGAUGUAUAGACG
rnacentral:lncRNA from 1 species